rnacentral:tRNA from 1 species
GCAGUGCGUGGCCGAAUGGUUACGCUGUCCGCUUUGUAAGUGGAUAAUUCUGGGUUCGAUUCCCAUCUGCUGCA